UACGGGGGGGGGUAAGCGUUGUUCGGAAUUACUGGGCGUAAAGGGCUCGUAGGCGGCCAACUAAGUCAGACGUGAAAUCCCUCAGCUUAACUGGGGAACUGCGUGUGAUACUGGAUGGCUUGGAUUUGGGAGAGGGAUGCGGAAUUCCAGGUGUAGCGGUGAAAUGCGUAGAGUAAUCUGGAGGAACACCAAUAGCGAAGGCAGCUCGCUGGGACGGUACUGACGCUAAGGCGCGAAAGCGUGGGGAGCAAACAGGG
rnacentral:rRNA from 1 species